rnacentral:rRNA from 1 species
CAGCCGCCGCGGUAAUACAGAGGGUGCAAGCGUUACUCGGAAUUACUGGGCGUAAAGCGUGCGUAGGUGGUGGUUUAAGUCCGUUGUGAAAGCCCUGGGCUCAACCUGGGAAUUGCAGUGGAUACUGGGUCACUAGAGUGUGGUAGAGGAUAGUGGAAUUUCCGGUGUAGCAGUGAAAUGCGUAGAGAUCGGAAGGAACAUCUGUGGCGAAGGCGACUAUCUGGGCCAACACUGACACUGAGGCACGAAAGCGUGGGGAGCAAACAGGAUUAGAUACCCCAGUAGUCCCUGUCUCUUAUAU